UCGCCAAAACCAGUUGUUCUCAUAUUGUAAUUUGUAUUAAAAAAUAUCCAUAGUUGCUGGUUUGGCGAUGAUGAAAACUGGUAAAAUUUGCGAUCCGUCCCCCCGCCACAUGGGCACGACUAGACCUCUAAAACGUGGGGUGCUAUAAUAGUUAAUACUAAGAUUUCAUUCAUGUUCUCUUAUUAUAGUGCAGGUGGUUGUGGUGCAAUUUUUGAAGUAUUUAUUUCCACGACAGAAUUCAAGGGAAUGAGUAUGGUAAAACAGCACCAACUUAUUACCGAAAUUUUAAAAGAUGAAAUUAAGUCAAUGCAUGGAAUACGAAUACAUACAGAAAUACCGGUUGAAAAUAACAAAUAUAAUUAAUUAUGUAUAAUAAAAAGAAAAUAGUUAUUGUAAAAUAGAAAAUGACUUUUCUGUUGUAUACAUUUUUUUUCAUUAUGAAUAAUAUGCUUCAUAUGUGAGGG